GACGAACGCUGGCGGCGUGCCUAAUACAUGCAAGUGGGACGCAAGGAAACACACUGUGCUUGCACACCGUGUUUUCUUGAGUCGCGAACGGGUGAGUAACGCGUAGGUAACCUGCCUAUUAGCGGGGGAUAACUAUUGGAAACGAUAGCUAAUACCGCAUAAUAUUAAUUAUUGCAUGAUAAUUGAUUGAAAGAUGCAAGCGCAUCACUAGUAGAUGGACCUGCGUUGUAUUAGCUAGUUGGUAAGGUAAGAGCUUACCAAGGCGACGAUACAUAGCCGACCUGAGAGGGUGAUCAGCCACACUGGGACUGAGACACGGCCCAGACUCCUACGGGAGGCAGCAGUAGGGAAUCUUCGGCAAUGGACGAAAGUCUGACCGAGCAACGCCGCGUGAGUGAAGAAGGUUUUCGGAUCGUAAAGCUCUGUUGUAAGUCAAGAACGUGUGUGAGAGUGGAAAGUUCACACAGUGACGGUAGCUUACCAGAAAGGGACGGCUAACUACGUG
rnacentral:rRNA from 1 species